GGAGCUUUUGCAAGUUGAAAUGCACAUCAACACUUCCCUGAGUGCUUUGGAAAUUCAGCUUUCUGUGGCUGCCUGCUUCAAGACUUCAGGUCCAUGAAAAGAUUUUAAACUUCUGGAGCCUAUGAACAAACCCCGCUGUUGUCCUGUCAAGGCUCUGCUGUUCACUGCACUGAAGGCCAAGCUGCUAUAACCACAGGGUGAAAAAGUGGGAAGAAAAAGCUGGAUAAAAUGGUUUGUGACUUUUUUAAAGUGUAUGCUGCUGGGUGCCUGUGCAUUCCCCUCCUGCAUGGUGGAAAGCUGUGGUGUGGCUUGCUGAGGCCCUGCCCUCUGAUGGAACAUGGCUGGGUGCACCAGGAACCUUGGGAGAGCUGCCCUUGCUGUGGGAUGCUGAUGGGCAAUGUGUCUCAGUACCACCAGGCACAUCCAUGGCAGGUGCCACCAGAGCUGAAAGAGAAAACCAAGGUGAUGCCCAAAGAAGCGUCACACAUCGCAGCCCUCCAGGAAUAUAAGCCGCAGCAGUAUGGGUGCAUGCUCAGCCUGAAAAGAAUAAACUGUUUCAAAAAUGGGAGCUUCCAUGGAACACUCUAUAGUCCCUCAGAUACAGAUUUCUCCAACCUGAAAGACCAACUCUUCUGAAAAAUACGAAUCUCAGAAAGCCCUCCAACUGCCCAGAAGCCUCUGCCUGACUGAAUUGGAGACACCUUGGCCUGGUCAGCCUACAGAAACUCAGACAGAGCUGGACAAAGGGUUUGUGGUUACUCUUAGAGGAGGUAUGCGAAUAUCAAGCAUACUGUGUCUAAUAAAAGCUCCCCGAGUUUAUUCAGGGCUGGGAGUCCUGGACUGAAGCUCUAACUCUGCCACCUUGGCAUUACACUCUUAGGGUAGCUUUUGCAUAUAUACUUGUAGUCAUGACCCAUGUCAGAGCGUGGCCCACAUCCUCAAGCCUGAAUGGGUAGGUAGAUUUGUAUCUAUCCCACACACCAGGAGCAGACCCAGACAACAAUAACCCAUCUGUACUGGGCAUUUCCUGACAAAGACACUAUCAGCCACUGUAGAGCUAAGGUGCAUAUAUCCACAGUCAUGACAGGGGGGGAUGAGAUCCCAGAACACAACAAAGGUCAAUGAAGAUUCCCCAGUAGAAGAAGACCAUAGGACAUGGCACCAUACAAACCCAUAAUAGAUGAUCUGUAUCCUGACAAGCUUCCCACUGAAACAGAUACAAGACAGGGAGAAGGGAAGUGAUGGCUUGAAAAUUCAAAUUAUCCCCGUUAAGCUUUGUAUCUCUUUGCUAUUUAUGCCCAACCAUGUUCUGCAUGUAUCAGACUCCCAGUCUCCAUUGAAUUUGUAUGUCCUAGCAAACCUUUGGUGUCCUCCUGCCAUCCACAAAACUACUCUUGUGUACUUCCCUUUGGAAACAUGCGAAUUUUUAAAGUUCUGUAUCUAUAUAUAUAUCUAUCUGUACUGUCUGUCCUUGAGUAAUGAACCCUGCUUUAGAAAGAACUGGAAAUAGUUAAGACAUAAAAUCCAUCAUAAUAGAGCAGGGUGGAGAAAAAUGAGAAGAAGCUAAAAUUGCAGAUGAUAGCAAUUUGUACAAAAUAUUUAUUUUGUAUAAAUAAAAUUAUUAU